GCCUGAGUUUAUAUAUGGGUAAGUUGUGAGCGUGAGAAAAAAAAUCAAAGGUCUUUGAAGUUUUCUAAAACGCAUUCAGCACCAGAUGUUGCACGGGCUCCAGCCGGGUAUAUAUAAAAGGAAUAUUUUUUAUUCAACCGUUAUUACGCAAAAUGGAGCCCAAUGAGAAGGAAAAGAAAAUGUAAGUACCCUUAUACAUGUACAUUUUAAAAUUUAUUUCGACAGUGUUAGUAGUUAAGGAAACAGAACUUAAAAACAUUUUGAUGUUGAGUCAUUGCAAUUUUUAGUAGCUAACCAGCUGAUAUCUGAUAUCUUUAUAGACCAUAAUGGCAAAAUAUUUCAAUAGCCCAGGUCAUAAUAAAUUGUGAAUAAAAAAAUGAUUUAUUUUAAGAGUAUUUUAGGGGUUUGAGGGUUAAUGUAUAUAAAUGGUCUUUAACGUCCAGUGGCAAGUUAAAUAAAUAUUCAGGACGAGAACAUUAGGGACGACAUCAAAAGUUCAAUGAAGGAUAAAAAACUUAAUUCAAAUAGUUUUUUCACUGACCCCCUACCCCCUAUUAACUUAAUUUGGGAAAAAUUGAUUGACCCAUAUGGAUAUAUGUAAAAAUCAAUGUCGGAUAACCAAAUCUUGCAGCAGUUCAACCCCCACCCCCAAACUAUUUGAAUUAAGUUUUUUUUAUCUUACAUUGAUCUUUUGAUGUCGUCCCUUAAUAUAAUAAGAUAUGAAUGUUUUACCCUGUUUUGUGCAAGAAUUUCGAAAACGAUUCCACUCUGGUUUUUGUCUAUGUAUUUCUAUUUGUAUCCAUCUGAUGAGUUAAGCCCUUUUCAAUUGAUUUUUAUAGUUCGUUC
rnacentral:lncRNA from 1 species